rnacentral:rRNA from 1 species
UACGGAGGGGGCCAGCGUUGUUCGGAAUCAUUGGGCGUAAAGGGCGCGUAGGCGGCCGAUCAAGUCCGACGUGAAAUUCCUCGGCUCAACCGAGGGCCUGCGUCGGAUACUGCUCGGCUUGAGUCCCGGAGAGGGUAGUGGAAUUCCCAGUGUAGCGGUGAAAUGCGUAGAUACUGGGAGGAACACCGGUGGCGAAGGCGGCUACCUGGACGGGUACUGACGCUGAGAAGCGAAAGCAUGGGGAGCGAACAGG